CGCGUAGGCGGCAAGGUCAGUCGGAUGUGAAAGCCCCGGGCUUAACCUGGGAACUGCAUUCGAUACUGCCUUGCUAGAGUAUGGUAGAGGGAAGUGGAAUUCCGGGUGUAGCGGUGAAAUGCGUAGAUAUCCGGAGGAACACCAGUGGCGAAGGCGACUUCCUGGACCAAUACUGACACUGAGGUGCGAAAGCGUGGGGAGCAAACA
rnacentral:rRNA from 1 species